CUGUCACUCAGCAGCUGCUGGAAUGUGCAGGAUUCUCCACAAACUGAGCCCCCUGAUCCUGUGGAUGCUGUGCCUCAGAGGCCGUGGCUGAGUACAGGCAGAACACACUUUAACUCACACACUCAUCUGGGGGGUCUUUGGGACACAGAAGGAACAUUUACUGUGACAAUGAACUUCUGUACCUGAGAGGCAGGAGCAGAAGAUUUGCAGUGACAGGUCUGGAAAGGGUUCUGGUUAAAAGACAAACAAAACAAAACACAUCUCAACAGAGCUGAGUCCCUGAACACCCUCAUGUGAUGACCACCAUGACUGGUCCCAGCUGCAGUGCCACAGAAGACACCAGAAUCAGGAACUGCACACUUUGCAGCACUGCAGCACCAGCAAGUAUGACCUUCAGAGCCCCUCAGACUGUGCUCCCAGAAUUGUGACACAAGAGAUUACACAGAGUAGAAGGAAUUCCCAUUUGGAGGUCAGCAGGCAACCCCCCUGCUGCAGAUGGAGUGACCUUCACAGCUGUGGUCACAGCAAUACAAAACUGAAACAUUCCAACACUCAGGAUUUCAGACAGAGUAUUUAGUUCAUCCAUUAUGCUCAAGCAGACCUUUAAAUUUACUGCAGAAAGUCACAUACAGUGGCUGUAUGCUGGAUCAGAUGAACCAGAGCAUUUUUUCCCUUAGAAUCUGUCACCCUGAGAGCCAGGAGUCCUGGAUAUUAUCCAAAGACUGUCAGAAAGAGGAACCAAGAGUAACCCAAACAAGCUUCCAAGGAGCAAACCCCUCAGCUCCGGAUUUUGGAGAUACCAAAAAUAUGAGUAUUUUGGAGAUGGCUCAAUGACUGUCUCUGUAUGAUACAGGCAAGGAUCCACAGGAUAACUUCUGAACUUUGUCCAAAGACAGAAUAAAGGACUAGAG